rnacentral:lncRNA from 1 species
UUUUUAAAAAGUACCUAUCCCACUUCUUGGGAUUUUUUUUAAAAAGUCUAUCCCAAUGUUGGGAAAAAAGUCUAUCCCAAUCCUUGGGAUUUUUAAAAAGUCUAUCCCACUUCUUGGGAUUUUUUUUUUAAAAAGUCUAUCCCGAUGUUGGGAAAAAGUCUAUCCCACUUCUUGGGAUUAAGGUCCUUGAGGGAUCGACUUUUAUCCUUGAGAGAGAAAAAGUCGAUCUUCAAAAAGUCGAUCCCUAGUGCACUUGGAGGAUUCCUUGGAAGUCGAUGCCUGAAAGCCUGGCUCCUUGAGGGAUCGACUUUUUUCCUUGGAAGAAAAAGUCGAUCUUCUGAAAAGUUGAUCCCUUGUUGGCUGAUUUCCUCGCAAGACUCCCUAGCUGGCGACUUGGGAAAAAAGUCGAUCACUUUUUUCGAAAAAGUCGAGGAGCUUUUUUCGUGAGUAUCUUUGAAUCACAGACGGCGCCAACUGAUGGGGGUGAAACCCGACAAGUACUCCAAGACGCGCAAGCAAGCGCCAAGCGGGGAACUCCGUGGGAAACCGGACCGGAACUCAAGUGCGCAGAGCUCUGCUUCGCUAGGAAUCCUUUCGCUCCAAAUUACCUGCCUUUAAUGAGUGGGGGGUGCCCUCUAUUUAUAGGGGUUCUUAUGGGGGUAAUAUGGUCAUUUGGGCAGUAACUGCCUAACUGCCCAACUGAUCAGGUUGGGUCCAGGGGUCGACUUUCCAGAGA